AGCCUAUGAUGGUGUAAGAGUAGUGGACAGAAAGGAUUUCUGAGAAAUUAUAUGCUGAGGCU
rnacentral:snoRNA from 1 species